GUCCUCUCUUCAGCAGCACAUAUACUAAAAUUGGAAAGAUACAGAGAUUAGCAUGGCCCCUGCACAAGGAUGACAUGCAAAUUUGUGAGGCAUUCCAUAUUUUU